ACUCCCAAUCCUUGUACCAGU
rnacentral:miRNA from 1 species